rnacentral:rRNA from 1 species
UAACCCUACGGGGGGCAGCAGUGAGGAAUAUUGGUCAAUGGACGCAAGUCUGAACCAGCCAUGCCGCGUGCAGGAUGACGGCUCUAUGAGUUGUAAACUGCUUUUGUACGAGGGUAAACCCCGAUACGUGUAUCGGGUUGAAAGUAUCGUACGAAUAAGGAUCGGCUAACUCCGUGCCAGCAGCCGCGGUAAUACGGAGGAUCCGAGCGUUAUCCGGAUUUAUUGGGUUUAAAGGGUGCGCAGGCGGAAUAUCAAGUCAGCGGUAAAAAUUCGGGGCUCAACCCCGUCGUGCCGUUGAAACUGAU